rnacentral:tRNA from 1 species
GGAGCGGAAGACGGGCUUCUAACCCGCGACCCCCACCUUGGCAAGGUGGGGGUCGCGGGUUCGAGUCCCGUCCGGACCGCCA